rnacentral:lncRNA from 1 species
CCGCUCCUCUCUCAUUCUCUUCUAGCUCUCCUUCAACCUUAGACCUUCAACCUUCAACCUUCAACCUCUUCAACCUUCAACCUCUUCAACCUUCAACCUGCAACCUUCAAUCUUCAACCUUCAACCUCUGCAACCUUCAACCUGCAACCUUCAACCUUCAACCUUCAACCUCUGCAACCCUGAAUCUGCAACCUGCAACCUUCAUUCUUCAAACCUCUUAA